rnacentral:lncRNA from 1 species
UUCUCUACUGUAGCUUUUUUUUAUUCCCAAAAAAUCAGGAGCAUCCAUAUUUACAAACGGCAAUCAGGCAGAUUUCCUUUUAAAGGAGUGAUUCACUUUAACUCAUUCACUGCCAUUGACGACUAUAAAGUCGCCAUUUUAAAUCCAACCGUGCCAGUGACGACUAAAGUCGUCAUUUUAAAUCCAACCGUGCCAGUGACGACUAAAGUCGUCAUUUUAAAUCCAACCGUGCCAGUGACGACUAAAGUCGUCAUUUUAAAUCCAACCGUGCCAGUGACGACUAAAGUCGUCAUUUUAAAUCCAACCGUGCCAGUGACGACUAAAGUCGUCAUUUUAAAUCCAACCGUGCCAGUGACGACUAAAGUCGUCAUUUUAAAUCCAACCGUGCCAGUGACGACUAAAGUCGUCAUUUUAAAUCCAACCGUGCCAGUGACGACUAAAGUCGUCAUUUUAAAUCCAACCGUGCCAGUGACGACUAAAGUCGUCAUUUUAAAUCCAACCGUGCCAGUGACGACUAAAGUCGUCAUUUUAAAUCCAACCGUGCCAGUGACGACUAAAGUCGUCAUUUUAAAUCCAACCGUGCCAGUGACGACUAAAGUCGUCAUUUUAAAUCCAACCGUGCCAGUGACGACUAAAGUCGCCAUUUUAAAUCCAACCGUGCCAGUGACGACUAAAGUCGUCAUUUUAAAUCCAACCGUGCCAGUGACGACUAAAGUCGUCAUUUUAAAUCCAACCGUGCCAGUGACGACUAAAGUCGUCAUUUUAAAUCCAACCGUGCCAGUGACGACUAAAGUCGUCAUUUUAAAUCCAACCGUGCCAGUGACGACUAAAGUCGUCAUUUUAAAUCCAACCGUGCCAGUGACGACUAAAGUCGUCAUUUUAAAUCCAACCGUGCCAGUGACGACUAAAGUCGUCAUUUUAAAUCCAACCGUGCCAGUGACGACUAAAGUCGUCAUUUUAAAUCCAACCGUGCCAGUGACGACUAAAGUCGUCAUUUUAAAUCCAACCGUGCCAGUGACGACUAAAGUCGUCAUUUUAAAUCCAACCGUGCCAGUGACGACUAAAGUCGUCAUUUUAAAUCCAACCGUGCCAGUGACGACUAAAGUCGUCAUUUUAAAUCCAACCGUGCCAGUGACGACUAAAGUCGCCAUUUUAAAUCCAACCGUGCCAGUGACGACUAAAGUCACCAUUUUAAAUCCAACCGUGCCAGUGACGACUAAAGUCGCCAUUUUAAAUCCAACCGUGCCAGUGACGACUAAAGUCGCCAUUUUAAAUCCAACCGUGCCAGUGACGACUAAAGUCGUCAUUUGCAUGUUUUUACUGUGUAGGCGUCAGAACGAGUCCCCGCACCGUGAGAACAAACAUCUCCGCUCUAAAGCCGAUCUUCAUCCGCAUACGUCACACGUCACGUGGUCAGGAAGCAGAAAAUCCAUGUGUUAG